rnacentral:rRNA from 1 species
CGGACGGGUGAGUAACACGUGGGUAACCUGCCCUAAGUGGGGGAUAACAUUUGGAAACAGAUGCUAAUACCGCAUAAAACCUAACACCGGCAUGGUGUAGGGUUGAAAGAUGGUUUCGGCUAUCACUUUAGGAUGGACCCGCGGUGCAUUAGUUAGUUGGUGAGGUAAAGGCUCACCAAGACCGUGAUGCAUAGCCGACCUGAGAGGGUAAUCGGCCACACUGGGACUGAGACACGGCCCAGACUCCUACGGGAGGCAGCAGUAGGGAAUCUUCCACAAUGGACGAAAGUCUGAUGGAGCAACGCCGCGUGAGUGAAGAAGGUUUUCGGAUCGUAAACUCUGUUGUUGGAGAAGAAUGUAUCUGAUAGUAACUGAUCAGGUAGUGACGGUAUCCAACCAGAAAGCCACGGCUAACUACGUG